ensembl:lncRNA
GCCAUGGCAACAGAGCAAUGACCCGACCGAGGUUAUUUAAGGUCAGCGGACUUGCUGAUCGUUCCAUUUGCACUUGAAACGAAAAAACCUUUAAACCUCUUGUGAAAUCAAACUGCUGAGAGCGAACUCUUUGAGAUUUUAACAGCUGGACGAAAUAUAUCAAUACGAAUCUUGUUGGAGAAGUGAACUACUAGCUACUUAACAACUCUAGUGGAGCACAGAAGAGGCUGAAAAAGGCCCUCAGGCGGCUGAGCAUCAGGGAAGAGCACCUGCUGGAGGAAGUCAGCUGUGAUUGGGACCUUUGGGACCUUCGGUGUGCAAAAAUAUAGAAGACAAGGAGGAGGAAGACAACGAGUCUGACUGGGAGAGCGAAGGAUCUUGCUACGACGAAGAAGAAGAGGAGGAAGAAGAUGAAGAUGACCCUCUCACACAGAGUUGCUGUCUCAUCCCCUCCCCUCUGGUGUGGAACAUCAGGAUUCUGUAGGUGAAGGCGGCGAGGAUGAUACAGGUGGAUGUGGAGGAGGAGGAUGAGGAGGAAGAAGAGGACGAGUACGAG